ensembl:lncRNA
UUUCCCUCAGUCUAUCUGUUUCUCUUUUGUGAAGACCACACAGAGGGAUGACAUGCUAGAGGCACGUCCAGGCUGGGUGGCCCGACUGCACACAGAAUCUGGGUGACAGGAUCAGCCCUCAACUGGCUAUGGGAGUAAUGCGUGUAGACAGUGUAAAACCAGUCUCUAAGAGACCUAAAGAGGGGGAAAACACUGGCAAAUCUGAAUAAAUAGACUUUAAAAAAAAAACUUUAGUAUUUUGGGACUCUUUUCAGCUGGAGCCAUAUGUGCCAAGCUCCCAUGGAUUGGACUCACUGAUGCUUUCACACAUUAGGUCAAACAUUGUAAUUGGAUGUCUGGUGCCUGUGGUAAAGGACACCAUUGAGACAUUGGUGUGGUAUGUUUACAUUUGCACUAAUAAUGCUAAACUGAUUAUGGCAGUAGGCCGAUAAAGUGUUCAUGUAAGUACCUUACUCUGCUUUUUUAAUUGGCGUAUGGUCAAAAUCAAAGUAAGCUUAUACUGAUCAAAUCAACUGAUUUUCUGAGCAAUCUUUCAAAUUGUUAGGGCUUAUUAAGAAAUCUUAAUUGCUUUGUCUCAGGUCAGGUAUUGUGGCAAUAUCCUUUCCACUGAUUAUGAGGGUUGUGUUGGAGUUACAAUUUCAAGACAAGGAGUUCUAGCAGUAUACAUGUUCAUGUGCUAGCACCAACUGAGAAUCUGUUGACAACUGAGCAAAUGCCUUUUCACAAACAAAUGGCAUGUCCAAACUUAUGAAGGCUUCCCAAAGUAACACGGUCACUCAGUGUGCCAGAAAGAUGUGUCCAUGUAAACAUGAACGUUAGGGAAUAGAUCUACUAGGGAAUCUAUUUCAUUAACCUGAUGAUCCACAGAAAUAGCAUUUUCCUGUGUGAGUAACCAUACUCAGUGAGAGGGCUUGGGAACUCUCAGCUCCAUGAGACCUCUCCACUGAAGUUCAAGGAGGACUGGGAGAGCUGCCGCAGCCAAAGUGCUUCUACAGGACGGAGGCCAAUUAGCUGCUCACCCCAAGCUCCCCAAUAAUCACCUUGUAGCAUUUAGCACACACUUAACAAAACAAAUGGUCCACAGUGUAGGUGUGCGUGUGUGUUCGUGUGUGUGCAUGUGUGAGAUAGGAGAAGGUUGAUUGCUCUGUCCAGUGGUUGAGAUAGGCUGGGCUUUGUCAAAGCUUAGAGCCUGCAGAUGGAAGAAAUCAAGGGUGUUAUCACUAAUCAAGACUCUCAGACCAGUGGUUGGAGGACUGGACCAAUGGAGGGCUGGACCAUUGGAGACCUGGACCAUUGGAGGGCUGGACCAUUUGAGGGCUGGGCUAUUGGAGAGCUGGAACACUGUAUCAUUUGGCCAUUUGGAGGGCUGGACCAUUAGAGGGCUGGGCCAUUGGAAGGCUAGACCAUUGGAGGGAAGGGCCAUUGGAGGUCGGGACCACUGGGGUGCUGGGGCAUUGGAGGGCUGGACCAUUGGAGGGGUGGGGCAUUGGAGGGCUGGACCAUUGAAGGGCUGGACCAUUGGAGGGCUGGGGCAUUGCACUCACAGGAAAUUGGUGCAGCCGAUGUUUUUUCUCUAUCUUGUCCUGGCCACCUUUCCAAAUGAGGAUAUGCAGAUGUAAACAUUGCUUUUGCCCUCCUCCACUUGGUGGUUGUGGUAGAUGGGAAAUCAGAGUUAAUGUUAUUUUUUGGGGGGAUGAGAAAACGAAAAACACUGUCAAAUCCAAUUUCCUCUGGUUUUUAUAGCUUCACAGCUGCAUUUUCA